rnacentral:rRNA from 1 species
CCUACGGGAGGCAGCAGUGGGGAAUUUUGGACAAUGGGCGAAAGCCUGAUCCAGCAAUGCCGCGUGCAGGAUGAAGGCCUUCGGGUUGUAAACUGCUUUUGUACGGAACGAAAAGCUUCGGGUUAAUACCCUGGAGUCUUGACGUCCUGAAGAAA